rnacentral:lncRNA from 1 species
UAUUUUCAUUCAUCACCAUUGCAACCAUCUCAUUUUUGUGGUGUGUGAAACUUCAGAGACUGGUUAUGUGGUUAGAGAUUGUUUUUUAGGGUUAUUUUCUUUUGGGGUUGUUGGACCUGCAAUCCCUUGAAUUUCUCCCAUAAAUUUAAAUUAACUUGGGAAUUUUAUACAUGUACAGAUAUGUCCACAUACAUAUUUAAUAAGGAAUCUUUUAAAAUAUUUUAAUCCUCUAUGUGAACAAAAAAUUCCCAGGCUCAAACAAAAGCAUAUCAGAUUAUGUCUGAUUUGUUUGCAAAGGCUGAGCUGGUCUCCUUGCUUUCUUGCUUAUGCUUUAAUGAGCUGGGCUAUUUUUCUCUCCUGUUUAUUAUUUUAAAUGUUUGAAGUUUGACGUGAACGGGAGGAACACUCAGAUUCAGAGCACGU